AUGAACGCUGGCGGCGUGCCUAAUCCAUGCAAGUCGCGCGAACAGACGAGGAGCUUGCUCCUCUGACGUUAGCGGCGGACGGGCGAGUAACACGUGGAUAACCUACCUAUAAGACUGGGAUAACUUCGGGAAACCGGAGCUAAUACCGGAUAACAUGUUGAACCGCAUGGUUCAACAGUGAAAGACGGUCUUGCUGUCACUUAUAGAUGGAUCCGCGCCGCAUUAGCUAGUUGGUAAGGUAACGGCUUACCAAGGCAACGAUGCGUAGCCGACCUGAGAGGGUGAUCGGCCACACUGGAACUGAGACACGGUCCAGACUCCUACGGGAGGCAGCAAUAGGGAAUCUUCCGCAAUGGGCGAAAGCCUGACGGAGCAACGCCGCGUGAGUGAAGAAGGUCUUCGGAUCGUAAAACUCUGUUAUUAGGGAAGAACAAAUGUGUAAGUAACUAUGCACGUCUUGACGGUACCUAAUCAGAAAGCCACGGCUAACUACGUG
rnacentral:rRNA from 1 species